CCCGCAGCAGUUUUCAUUAUAAUAUCGUCGUAAUAAUAAUAAUAAUAUUAUUAUUAUUACUAUAUUAUAUUAUGCUUAUGCAAAGAGGAUUACAUAUUAUCACACCUUGAUUGUUUCAGUAUGGUUUCGACGAAGAAUCCACCGACCGCUUGCUAAUAAACAACGAACCUGGCUCAACCUCAUCAACAACGACAAAAACAAAAA